AGAGAGAGACAUGCGCGCAUAUCAAUAAGCGGAGGAAAAGAAACUAACUAGGAUUCCCUCAGUAACGGCGAGUGAAGCGGGAAGAGCUUAAAUUUGAAAUCUUCAAGGUUCUACCUUGACGAAUUGUAGUUUAAAGAAGUGUUUUCUGUUGGAGUUUUGGUAAAAGUUCUUUGGAAUAGGACAUCAUAGAGGGUGAGAAUCCCGUAUUUGACCAUUAUUUCCAGCUUUGUGAUACACUUUCAAAGAGUCGGAUUGUUUGGGAAUGCAGUCCAAAAUGGGUGGUAAAUUUCAUCUAAAGCUAAAUAUUGGCGAGAGACCGAUAGCGAACAAGUACCGUGAGGGAAAGAUGAAAAGAACUUUGAAAAGAGAGUUAAACAGUACGUGAAAUUGUCAAAAGGGAAGCGUUUGACACCAGUGUUGUUUUCUCGAAAAUCAAUUAAAAAAGGCAGGAUUUUGUGUUGUAUUGACUUUAUCAGCUUUCUGCACUCUUUUCUUGUCUUUUUUAAUGCACUUUUCGUUUAACAAGUCAACAUCAAUUUCUUUUGUUGUAAAAGGGUCAUUGGAAGGUGGCUUUCUUUUCGGAGAAAGUGUUUAUAGCCUUUGGCCUCUGCAAUCGGAGAGAUUGAGGUCUGCAGCGUAGAUCCUUCGGGGUUAGAUACAUUUGUGCUAAGUUAUAGCCUUUCAUAGACAACUUGUUGACUAUGAUCAGUCAUGUAGCUUACUCGCUUAUGCUAUUUUACCUACGCUUAGGAUGUUGAUGUGAUACUGCGAGCA
rnacentral:rRNA from 1 species